rnacentral:snoRNA from 1 species
CCUCCAUUUCUUGGCAUACAUGUGGUUGUUUAGUACUCGUGUGUGUUAUGUACGGAGGAAAAACAAAGGCAGCGCUAUGUCUUCGGUACCGGUGUGUAUUAUUGUCUACCGGUCCUAUCCUCAAACGCUGUUACAACC